rnacentral:lncRNA from 1 species
GGCUUCUCUUUCCUCCCCGUCUCAGGCACUGGGCAUUUCCAGUCGAUCCAGCAGGUCUGGCUUCUCUCACAUAUGCAGUAAGGGUUAGGGGAGAAGGUCCCAGCUCCUCUUGUCUCUAGCAGAGUGUAAACUGGCUCUGCUGAGGAGGUGGCUGUGCUUUUAUUCCUUCUCCUGAGAACUGUUUAUAUAUUAAGGAGCUUCACAGCCUCCAACAUAAGGAAAGCAGGCCUCAAACUUCUUCAUGGGAAAAGAUGGCUUCUCUUUUUUAAUUGAAUGAACUAGAAGAAGUUCAUUGUUAUUCAUCAACUUCAAAGAGACUAUAUGAGGCCCCUUGGCCAGGACUACAGAGCAGUAUUUUUUAAUCAGAAAUUAUAGCCAAAAAGAAGAGACCAGAACACAUGGAAUUGAAAGAAACUACUUUAAAUUUCAUAUGGAACCAAAAAAAGCCCAUAUAGCCAAGAUGAUCCUAAGCAAAAAGAGCAAAGCUGGAGGCAUCAUGCUACCUGGCUUCAAACUAUACUACAAGGCUACAGUAACAAAAACAGCAUGGCACUGGUACUAAAACAGAUAUAUAGACCAAUGGAACAGAACAGAGGCCUCAGAAAUAACGCCACACAUCUACAACCAUCUGAUCUUUGACAAACCUGACAAAAACAAGCAAUGAGGAAAGGAUUCCCUAUUUAAUAAAUGGCGUUGGGAAAACUGGCUAGCCAUAUGCAGAAAACUGAAACUGGACCCCUUCCUGAUACCUUAAACAAAAAUUAAUUCAAGGUAGAUUAAGGACUUAAACAUAAGACCUAAAACCAUAAAAACCCUAGAAGAAAAGCUAGGCAAUACCAUUCAGGACACAGGCAUGGGCAAAGACUUCAUGACUAAAACACCAAAAGCAAUGGCAACAAAAGCCAAAAUAGACAAAUG